rnacentral:rRNA from 1 species
GACGAACGCUGGCGGCGUGCUUAACACAUGCAAGUCGAACGGAAAGGCCCUGCUUUUGUGGGGUGCUCGAGUGGCGAACGGGUGAGUAACACGUGAGUAACCUGCCCUUGACUUUGGGAUAACUUCAGGAAACUGGGGCUAAUACCGGAUAGGAGCUCCUGCUGCAUGGUGGGGGUUGGAAAGUUUCGGCGGUUGGGGAUGGACUCGCGGCUUAUCAGCUUGUUGGUGGGGUAGUGGCUUACCAAGGCUUUGACGGGUAGCCGGCCUGAGAGGGUGACCGGCCACAUUGGGACUGAGGUACGGCCCAGACUCCUACGGGAGGCAGCAGUGGGGAAUAUUACACAGUGGGCGGGAGCCUGAUGCAGCGACGCCGCGUGCGGGAUGACGGCCUUCGGGUUGUAAACCGCUUUCGCCUGUGACGAAGCGUGAGUGACGGUAAUGGGUAAAGAAGCACCGGCUAACUACGUG